UAAUACGUAGGGAGCAAGCGUUGUCCGGAUUUAUUGGGCGUAAAGAGCUCGUAGGCGGCUUAGAAAGUCGGGUGUGAAACCUCCAGGCUCAACCUGGAGACGCCACUCGAUACUUCUAUGGCUUGAGUUCGGUAGGGGUAAGCGGAAUUCCUGGUGUAGCGGUGAAAUGCGCAGAUAUCAGGAGGAACACCGACGGCGAAGGCAGCUUACUGGGCCGAUACUGACGCUGAGGAGCGAAAGCGUGGGGAGCGAACAGGAUUAGAUACCCUGGUAGUCCACGCCGUAAACGUUGGGCACUAGGUGUGGGAGGUAAUCAACGCCUUCCGUGCCGUAGCUAACGCAUUAAGUGCCCCGCCUGGGGAGUACGGUCGCAAGACUA
rnacentral:rRNA from 1 species